CUGAAGGAGUUAAUCGAUUUGGCAAGUGAAAAUAAAAAAAAAUAAAUAUCAUCAAAUUCAAUCUUUAAAAUAUUUUAAAAAAUAAAUUAAUAUGAUGUAUAUUUCAAAUGUUAAACAAAGGUUUAAUCGCUGGACAAUGUGCAAGCAUUGCAAGAAUGAGGCUGAAUGCAAAGAGUUAGAUUGGUUCCCACUAUCCACCACAGAAAGUGGAAAAAUCAAAACCACUGUGAAUAAAUGCAGGACAAUUUCAUUUGUGGGUUUCCAUAGUCAUGGUAAGUUAUGCUUUCUCCAAGAUUCAUGGUGUCAUUCUCAUGAUUCAUUUUGUAUAAAGCAAAAUGGAUGCUAAGCAACAAACAACAGUCGUUGGCAACAAAAGGCACUCGCUGUUUAUAAAAUGAUGUUAAUAGUUGUAAUAAAUGAAAAAACUGAAACAAAAUCAAGGAAGAGAAAAUGUUGGAUUGACAAAAUUUAUAAGAGAUGCAA
rnacentral:lncRNA from 1 species